rnacentral:lncRNA from 1 species
GUGUGUGUUAAACAUAUGUAUAAAAAAAGGAAAAAAUAAUGCAUACUAAUAGUGAAAUGAUUAAACUGUGAAUCACACACUAAUUUCUCACAUAACUGUUAAUGUACAUUCCUUUUUCUGUAAAUGUAUAACUUGCAGUUUCUCAACUGAGUCCAAGUACUUAAUUUGAUCAGUGCUGCUUUUUAUUCUAACAUUUUUCUUAUCUGGUUUGUUUUUUUUACUAACUGUAGGUAGUUAUUUAUUCUGCAGAUAUUAGUACUUUAGGCCUACUAUGAUAUCUGCAUUAAUAAAGGAUUGAAUUUUUUUUUUGUUGGCAGUAAAUCCAGUUUUUCAUAAAUUUGUAACAAAGUAUGGGAAUGAUUUUCUGCCUUAUUUCCUUUCCAAGAGAAUGGAGGGGAAAAUGGAAUAAAAUAGUGAUCAUGCAUUUUAGGAAAAAUGAUUGAAAAAAACUUGUGUUCAACUCUGAUUUUUGGUUUCUGCCGUUGAAAAGGAAAAAAGGAAUCCAUUGAUGUACAGUUUGGCAGAGCUUCCAUACUGUAAGCAUAUUCAGUGUUGUAAACAAAUGUAAAAUGCUGCUGUUUUCAGAUUGUGUUUUACAAAUUUAGUUUUAUUUCAUUAUAAUUGUAUAUAUGAUUAUAAAAGAAACAUACAUUAUCUUAUGUAAAGAUACAUCUCUUCAUUUAAAGCUGGCAAUUCAAUGAAACUUUUAAAAAAUACACUUGUUACCUAAUUAAUGGGUGACUACCAAAGAGAAGGAUCAUUAAAGAUUUUUAACUCAAUUUUGUUGCUGUUUGAUAUGAUUCCAAUUGGCUUUGUUGCUUUUUAUAAUUGUCUUUUAAGUGUGACUUAGGCAGAGGCAAGACUUUGAAAACCAAAAAAGGUGGGGGAAGGGAGGAGAACUUAUAAAAUGGCAUAUUGAUGUUAUAGUAAGUAGAGCCAUUUAAAGUAUGCAGUAGUUCCUGCCCCUUUUAAUGUGUUCAAAUAAUUUCAUGUUUAUUUUUCUUCAGGAAUAGUAUAGCUGACCUGCUCAAUACUUUUAGUUGGAAUUAUUUUAAGCAUUUAGAAUUGAGUUUUGCCAUUUUUCAUACUGGUAUAUUCCCUGAGGGCUUCAGUCUCCCCCCCAAUUCCCUCCUUGUUUAGUUUUUCAAAAACAGUUUGUAUUUAAAAGGUUUUAAAGUACCAAAAUUGUAA